GCUGGGGUGACCGAGAGGUUAAGGCGAUGGACUGCUAAUCCAUUGUACCCUGAAUGGGUUUGAAUCCCAUUCUUGUCG
rnacentral:tRNA from 1 species